rnacentral:rRNA from 1 species
UACGUAGGGCGCAAGCGUUGUCCGGAAUUAUUGGGCGUAAAGAGCUCGUAGGCGGUUUGUCGCGUCUGCUGUGAAAACCUAAGGCUCAACCUUGGGCUUGCAGUGGGUACGGGCAGGCUAGAGUUCGGUAGGGGAGACUGGAAUUCCUGGUGUAGCGGUGAAAUGCGCAGAUAUCAGGAGGAACACCGAUGGCGAAGGCAGGUCUCUGGGCCACUACUGACGCUGAGAAGCGAAAGCAUGGGGAGCGAACAGG